GAUGAAGAACGCAGCGAAAUGCGAUAAGUAAUGUGAAUUGCAGAAUUCAGUGAAUCAUCGAAUCUUUGAACGCACAUUGCGCCCUCCGGCAUUCCGGGGGGCAUGCCUGUCCGAGCGUCACGAAAACCCCAUCACACUCGUUGUGGUCAUGGCUGCAGUGAGUCGUCUCCAGCGGAGAGGGUCACGCCGCUGAAAGGAAUGGUGCGGAUGAGUUCCGAUGGCCGAACGUAGUACUUGACAACCGUCGGCCGAUGGGACCCUCCAUCUCGCCCUGACGACGUACCCCCGUCGUACCCCCGAUCAGGUGGACCUCGGAUCAGGUAGGGAUACCCGCUGAACUUAAGCAUAUCAAUAAGCGGAGGA
rnacentral:misc_RNA from 1 species